GAUGAAGAACGUAGCGAAAUGCGAUACUUGGUGUGAAUUGCAGAAUUCAGUGAAUCAUCGAAUCUUUGAACGCACAUUGCGCCCCUUGGUAUUCCGGGGGGCAUGCCUGUUCGAGCGUCAUUAUAACCCCUCAAGCUCAGCUUGGUGUUGGGGCCUGCCGACUGGCAGCCCUUAAAAUCAGUGGCGGCGCCAUCUGGCUCUAAGCGUAGUAAUUUCUCUCGCUAUAGAGUCCCGGUGGAUGCUUGCCAGCAACCCCCAACUUUCUAUGGUUGACCUCGGAUCAGGUAGGGAUACCCGCUGAACUUAAGCAUAUCAAUAAGCGGAGGA
rnacentral:misc_RNA from 1 species